GCGGCGCGAUGAAAAAUGCGUACGUCUGAAAUUAAUAAACUUUGCGAAAAAACUACAGUGAAUUGACUUUCCAUAUUUUAGAGACUAAACGACGAGUUAUCCGUCUAUUGAAAAACUGUAAGCUUUUGUCAAUGCACUGUACAGAGUUACAGUUAUUUUUCUCCGAAUCCAGAAAACUGAAAAUUUUACGUGUCCGAAAAUGCUUUUGUAUAGCGAGGGACUAUAUUGCGAGGAAAUUGUUUCCAAGUACGAAAUUGGCUUAAAAUUAAUAAAAUGGUCGAAUAUAUAUCCAGGUUUUCGAUUUUGAAGGGAAUUUCCCGCACACUCUCUGGUUAAGAAGUCUCGAUAGAAAAUCUGAAAAGUUGUGAAAAAACAGAGCAAAAUUUCUCCCCUGAGGCACCUCCGAUAAGAGUGCACAUCUCAUUCAUUUCCCGAACUUAAAAUUACGUUUAUUCAUCCAAAAAAGUUUGUGACUAACCUCAAUUUUCACGCAAAGCAAUGAUGUUCCAUAACUUGCUACGACAGCAUUUUUUUGACCUUGAACUGUGGAAGUUCAAAAAAGUCAUGUGAUACAAAUCAUGUGACGCGCAGAUUUGGGUGCUAAAAUGCACUUUUAUAGACCCAUAUUAAGUCAAAUAUAAAUUUAAGAAACAGAAUAAACAUUCCUUUUAUCAAAGACCAAAAACUUAAUACAAAUUUAGUAAAUUUACCGAAAUCCCGCCCACUAAACGAGAGGUAAACUGAGGUGCUUUCCAACGAAACCCCACUAUUUACCACGAGGCAGAGACAGGUGAAGUAGGUUGUGCGGCAAGUUAUGAUUUUUAUCCUUGCUGAAAUAUGGAACCCACAUAUUUAUAGCAUGUCAGAGACUCAUUAUCAGGCUGAUAAAAAUUUAAAAACUUUCUAACAUCGAUGUAAGGAAAAAGAUGUUUGGAUAUACAUGCAGAAUGGUAGAAGUAUUUAUGUAAUAUGAGCUUUUUUCAUGAUCAGUUAACACUCAUUUUCAGUAUAAAGAUCCAUUUGAAAGUGUAGGGUUUAUUUUAUAAAUCAUGGAAAAUUUUAAUAUCCAUGACUUGCUAGUACAGGUAUGAAAAUGAAAGUUGAGACAUUUAUACACCAUACUCGCUUACUGUUGAAGUUGUAGAUUUUUUACUAAAGUUAAAAUGAAGUACAUCUAUUGGAGAAUGUUAUAUGGUUCUAAGAUCAACAGUGAUAAAGGUUUAAAAUAUAAUCCAUUUAUGUUUUCUGUAUGAAAAAAGAUAAAGCCAGUAAUUAUUAUUUUAUUAUGUGAGUUCCUAGACUUCUGUUAGUUAAUUACCACUUCGACAUAUCUUCCGUCCCUCGCUCAUUGUUAGUCAAUUUUUUAAAUGUUAAAUGGACCUAUAUAUUGAACAGAUUGUUUUUAUUUUUAGUUGCAUGGAUAUUGUAAAUUCUGAAUUUGUUCUGAUUUUCUUUCCCAGAUAAAAGAAGAACAGUUAUUUCAGAUAUUACAGAAUCUCUGCCAGGCUUUUAAGUGCCCUGAAAAGUGAUCACAACGAUAUGCUGCAUCAUUAUCAUGCAUUCCUAUUAGUCAUAUUAAAAAAACUGUCACCAAGCCCUUAGUGAAAAUUAGUAUUCUUUGGCAGCACUUACAUUUUUUGAAACAUAAAAAUUGAAUUUUUAAAAAGAAAUAAUGACUUCGGUGGUAUUUCUUUAAGAUAAUUGGAUGGCAGUGUUGCAAACAAGUGUUAUUAUGGACACUUUUUUUCUAAUUGGACUCCCAGGAGCCAGACUGAUUUUCACAUUCAAACAAGAAUUUAAAAAGAAAAAAAUGUCAGAAUAGUAAAAGAGGUAUUUUGAAUAUAUUUACAGUCCACAUCCAUUUAUAUCCAGUAUAUAAUGCCUGGUGUUCACAUAUACAGGUACAGCCCUUUUAGGAAGCAAGUUACAUAUUUCCAUAUUUUAAUAUCAGAUAUCAAAUACAAGCAUAUGGAACUGUUUUGAAUAAAGACAUAAAUUGUCCUUGGUGAUCAGCAUAUUUUUCUCUUAUUUUAAGUCUUAAAAGGAUAGCUUAUGUAUUUUGAGAUAAUGCAUUUGAAGACGGAACAUGUAUGAAAAUUUCUUCAGCAAAAAAUAAAUAAAAAAAUAGGAAAGUCAUUAAGUUCAACCAAGUGCAAUGAAAGUGAAAAUUUUAUAUUAAUUUUGGAAAUAUUUUUUGUUUUUAUUUAUGUAUUUUUUACAUUUUUACACACUUUGUAUAACUAAAUACUUUGUGUAUUCUUACUAGCGACCAUGCAUAUGGACUUCCUGUGCAUGUAUACUUGUACCAUUGUUUUGAAAAUAAAAUUAUAUCCUGUUGUUUUUUUACCCUCUGUUUUUUAUUGAUUCUCCUGGAGUAAAUGACAAUUUCCCCCUUCUUACCAAUAGUUACUGGGGUACUGAAUCAGUUUUGACAUUCAAAAUUAGUCUGUAUUGUAAUUUUUUAAUAUAUUUUAAUAUUUCAAAAGAUUAUUACAGAGUACAGCCAUCAUGUGAUUGGAUGGCAAGAACAGUUUCCAAAUUAAUUGUGAAAACCACCAUUUUGGUUGUAAAAUGGAAUAUAUAUUGUAUUCCUAUGGGUUCUUUACACUAUUUAUUCUUAAAUGUGAAUCUCAUAAAAACAGUUGUUAACCCUUUAAAAUAUUCAUUUAAGAAACGAUGAAUUUGUCUGUGCAAAAUAAAGAAAAACAACUUUGUUUUAUUUUAAACUUAAGUUUUGGACUCAGAAAUGUUCUAUUACCUACAUAAUUUCAUAAGUAACAUUGAAACAUGCAAGGUACAUGUACUGGUAGUAGGGCAUAGAAAAAGAAGGUGCAACAAUAUUAAAUUUACAAGUUAGAUAUAAAACUGACACGCAUUGUUUGACUAUCAAUUGAAAACUGUAAUAAUAUCCAAAAUAACCGGUGAUAAUCGCCAAAAUAAA
rnacentral:lncRNA from 1 species